UCUAUAGUCGCGCCACCAGGUGCCCCGAGAGGGGAGAAUCGGGAAGCCGGUGCAAGACCGGCGCGGGCCCGCCGCUGUGAGGGGGACCUGUCGGACAUUUGCCACCGGGCCCUGCGGCCCGGGAAGGCGUCCGCCGGGGAGGAACCCAAGCCAGAAGACCGGCCUGGUGACACUAGGUUCC
rnacentral:ncRNA from 2 species